rnacentral:rRNA from 1 species
GGGCCCGCACAAGCGGAGGAACAUGUGGUUUAAUUCGAUGAUACGCGAGGAACCUUACCUGGGCUUAAAUGUAGAGUGCAUGUCGUGGAAACACGCUUCCCUUCGGGGCUCUUUACAAGGUGCUGCAUGGUUGUCGUCAGCUCGUGCCGUGAGGUGUCGGGUUAAGUCCCAUAACGAGCGCAACCCUUACCGUUAGUUGCCAGCGGGUCAAGCCGGGGACUCUAGCGGGACUGCCACCGUAAGGUGAGAGGAAGGUGGGGAUGACGUCAAAUCAGCACGGCCCUUAUGUCCAGGGCUACACACGUGUUACAAUGGCCGGUACAGAGGGCAGCUACCUGGUGACAGGGUGCCAAUCCCGAAAGCCGGUCUCAGUUCGGAUCGAAGUCUGCAACCCGACUUCGUGAAGCUGGAUUCGCUAGUAAUCGCGCAUCAGCCAUGGCGCGGUGAAUACGUUCCCGGGCCUU